AAACGGGCUCUCGAGCCGAUGUAAUACUCGCGCGGCUCAGAGCAGGCUACUUAAUCCAAACUUAAUUUAAAAUAGCAUAGCAGCCACCAAUAAGGAGGAGCGAGGAAGUGGACAGUCACCGGUUCACAAGAAGAAAACGAGACGCUGCUGCUGCUGCUGCUGCUGCUGCUGCUGCUAAGCUGGCACCGCCAAUCUUCAAGUUUGAGACAGGGGGGUUAAAAGGAGGAGCUUGUGCGGAAGAGGUUCGUGAAGCAGUUUUCCUGUAGUUCAGAUGAUGGUGAUGAUGAUUUCAAUUCUCGGAUAUUAUAGCCUUCAGCACCACAGAGCAUCAUCAUCAUCAUCAUCAGUGCCCUCCUACAGUAGGCCUACCCACACUGGCUGAGAGCUCUCCUGCUCCAUGAGCCCUCAUCCAACGCCAACACCUCUGUCUUCUCACAGCACAAAAGGAUGACAACGGAUAACAGCUUGCAAGCAUGUAUUCUGCUGCCCUGAUGACCCAUGAGCUGAACUCUUCUUCUGACAGGUCUCUGAUGAGCAAGUGUUCACACCAACAUGGCCCAGAUAAAAAUCACUUCCUUCCUCCAUUCUGGCAGCAGUUGCCUUGAAAAGACACACACAUGCUCUUUGGUGCAAAAGAGGAUAUUUAAACGCACACCAGUAGGCCUGAAGAUUUCCUGGAAAUGCCAAAGGGGUUGGCAUUUCAAAAAUAACAGAAAUGCUAGAAUAGGAGAAAAUGCAACAGACUUCCUGCUAUUGUUUGAACAUUACUCGGGAAGUCACAAUAAAUGGUGUCAGCUUUUUCUGAUGUGAUAGCCAAAUAAUCUCAUGACACUGUCCAUAACAACUGACUUUGCACUUUGAUAGUAAACUUGGAAUGGCAAAUUAACAUAAUCACCAUGCAAAUUCUGUAAUGAAACUAAUCCCCGACACAAAUAAGGCAAACGCGUGAUAGCUGUUUGUUCAAUUUUAACAGAAAUAUGUUGAUGCUGGGAGCACCAGAAUUUAAUCACUGCAAGCUGAUUAAAAACAGGAAGAUCUUCUCUUAAGCCCACUCAUUCUUUCAAUAUCACAAAUCCAAUUUUAUGUACAAAUAAGUUGAUUUACUGUGUUUGAUUUAUCUCUUUGUACUGAUGUAUUCCUCCACCUCCUUCUGCUGGCCCACUCUGGCUUGUAAAGAGCAUGUGUGCUGUGUGGGCCGGAUCACUCCGGAGUUUCUGUCUUGAACAGCGAGCAUUAGUCAUCCAGGUUGGUGGAUGAAGAGAACAAGUAGCUCAGGUGGGUGGACAUGCCCUCAUAUUGGAUUACAGAGAGGACUCAAAAACAAAGAACAAUGCCGGUGAGAUGAAAGGCUGAAAGACAGCAAUGUUUCUCUCAACGGGGCUUCAAAAAUAAAUGUAUGUUAGUGCAGCAUAUGCCUAAUAAAGAAGGUAUUAGUCCUGUCUUUGCACCUACUGUAAUACAAGAGUUUCUCAUUAAGCCAAUCAGAUGUUGCAUUUAACUUCAAAUCUAUGUAAUGCUCUAUGUAAUGGGUUUGUAUUCUUUCAUAACUUUCCUGGAAAACAUUUGGUACCUACUGUACAAAAGGGAAAAUAUGAAUUUUCUUGAAAUAAAGCGGGUGUUGACUUUGAAGACAUGGGU